AUGAACGCUAGCGAUAGGCUUAACCCCUGCAAGUCGCGGGGCAGCAUGGUCUUAGCUUGCUAAGACUGAUGGCGACCGGCGCACGGGUGCGUAACGCGUAUGCAACUUGCCUCACAGAGGGGGAUAACCCGUCGAAAGACGGACUAAUACCGCGUACACUCCAUCUUGGGCAUCCAAGGUAGAGGAAAUGAAAUUCGCUGUGAGAUAGGCAUGCGUCCCAUUAGCUAGUUGGUGAGGUAACGGCUCACCAAGGCGACGAUGGGUAGGGGAACUGAGAGGUUGAACCCCCACACUGGUACUGAGACACGGACCAGACUCCUACGGGAGGCAGCAGUGAGGAAGAUUGGUCAAUGGGCGAGAGCCUGAACCAGCCAAGUCGCGUGAAGGAUGACUGUCUUAUGGAUUGUAAACUUCUUUUAUACGGGAAUAACAAGAGUCACGUGUGACUCCCUGCAUGUACCGUAUGAAUAAGCAUCGGCUAACUCCGUG
rnacentral:rRNA from 1 species